CGGGGUGAGUAACGCGUGAGCAACCUGCCUUUGUGAGGGGGAUAACACAGGGAAACUUGUGCUAAUACCGCAUGACGCAUACGAAAGACAUCUUUUGUAUGUUAAAGGAGCAAUCCGCACAAAGAUGGGCUCGCGUCUGAUUAGAUAGUUGGUGGGGUAACGGCCUACCAAGUCGACGAUCAGUAGCCGGACUGAGAGGUCGAACGGCCACAUUGGAACUGAGAAACGGUCCAG
rnacentral:rRNA from 1 species